AGAAAUCUCACCAGGCCCGGACACUGGAAGGAUUGACAGAUUGAUAGCUCUUCCUUGAUUCGGUGGGUGGUGGAGCAUGGCCGUUCUUAGUUGGUGGAGUGAUUUGUCUGGUUAAUUCCGUUAACGAACGAGACCUUAACCUGCUAAAUAGUGACGCGGUUCAUCGAACCGUGGGCCACUUCUUAGAGGGACUAUCGGAUUCAAACCGAUGGAAGUGUGAGGCAAUAA
rnacentral:rRNA from 1 species